GAUGAACGCUGGCGGCGUGCCUAAUACAUGCAAGUCGAGCGAACAGACGAGGAGCUUGCUCCUCUGACGUUAGCGGCGGACGGGUGAGUAACACGUGGAUAACCUACCUAUAAGACUGGGAUAACUUCGGGAAACCGGAGCUAAUACCGGAUAAUAUAUUGAACCGCAUGGUUCAAUAGUGAAGGACGGUUUUGCUGUCACUUAUAGAUGGAUCCGCGCCGCAUUAGCUAGUUGGUAAGGUAACGGCUUACCAAGGCGACGAUGCGUAGCCGACCUGAGAGGGUGAUCGGCCACACUGGAACUGAGACACGGUCCAGACUCCUACGGGAGGCAGCAGUAGGGAAUCUUCCGCAAUGGGCGAAAGCCUGACGGAGCAACGCCGCGUGAGUGAUGAAGGUCUUCGGAUCGUAAAACUCUGUUAUUAGGGAAGAACAAAUGUGUAAGUAACUAUGCACGUCUUGACGGUACCUAAUCAGAAAGCCACGGCUAACUACGAG
rnacentral:rRNA from 1 species